rnacentral:rRNA from 1 species
GCUUUUUGUUAGUUAAAAGUUUUUUCUGCUCGGUGUUUUUUAACAGCCGCGGUACUUUGACCGUGCAAAGGUAGCAUAAUCAUUUGCCUCGUAAUUGGGGGCUAGCAUGAAAGAAUAAACAAAGGUUUUUCUUUAUUAGAUGAAAAAAAAUAAUUUUCUUUUUAAGUGAAGAAGCUUAAAUAAGAAAGGGGACAAGAAGACCCUUUUGAGCUUUAUUUGUUUUCUUUUUAAGUUAAACAAAUUUGGUUGGGGCGACCAAGGAAUACCUUCCUUUAUAAUUUUGAUCCAUUUUUAAUGAUUAAAAGAGUAAGUUACCAAAGGGAUAACAGCGUAAUCUUUUUUGAGAGUUCUUAUUAAAAAAAAGGAUUGCGACCUCGAUGU